rnacentral:rRNA from 1 species
GACGAACGCUGGCGGCGUGCUUAACACAUGCAAGUCGAACGGAAAGGCCCUGCUUUUGUGGGGUGCUCGAGUGGCGAACGGGUGAGUAACACGUGAGUAACCUGCCCUUGACUUUGGGAUAACUUCAGGAAACUGGGGCUAAUACCGGAUAGGAGCUCCUGCUGCAUGGUGGGGGUUGGAAAGUUUCGGCGGUUGGGGAUGGACUCGCGGCUUAUCAGCUUGUUGGUGGGGUAGUGGCUUACCAAGGCUUUGACGGGUAGCCGGCCUGAGAGGGUGACCGGCCACAUUGGGACUGAGAUACGGCCCAGACUGCUACGGGAGGCAGCAGUGGGAAAUAUUGCGCAAUGGGCGGAAGCCUGAUGCAGCAACGCCGCGUGCGGGAUGACGGCCUUCGGGGUGUAAACCGCUUUCGCCUGUGACGAAGCGUGAGUGACGGUAAUGGGUAAAGAAGCACCGGCUAACUACGUG